UUUUUUUUAUAAUUGUCAUUUAUUGAAUAUGUUUUAAGGGAUACAAAAAGAAAAAAGGGAAGGGGGUAUCCACAGAGAAAAAAAAGAAUAACAGCAUCAAGUUUUUCAUGAAAAUAAUCUGGAUAUAAGCAUACAAUUAUAAAACGGGGAGAUUUUUCCGUAUAUAGUAGUUGGACAUAACAAAAAAGUGCAUGUUAGUUUACAGCCGUUUUCAACUUUAGACACUCCCAGCUUUUUCCCAGCCUGCAACAGACUCUCCCAUGCUAAGCCUAGUGUAGAGUUUUCACUGUUACUAAUUUUCAGUGGGUUCUGGGUCAUUGUCAGCAGCCUCUUCUGUGGGUCCCAAUAUUUCUCCAAUUUAUGUUGUUGUCUAUGUGUGAAUAUUGCCUUAUUUUCAAAAGUGUAGUUAAUUUAUAUUCUAUCUAAAAAUUUGUUAGUGUAGGAAUGUGCUCUACUAGUUUAUGGCAACUAGCUGCCCUAUCAACAUAAGGUAUGUCAUUAUCAAAUGAGAGCCAUAGUGAGUGCUCUAUGGACUGGGGAAUGUGGGACAAGCAGAGAUGGUGGAUAGUUUAUAAACUCGUGACCAAGAUGUUGUGAGUGUAGGGAAAGUCAAUCAAAUGUGUUGUAAAGUACCUGGUGCAAAUUAGCAUCUCCAACAAUAUGUAGAAGCCUCUGGAUAUAUGUGGUAUAAUCUAUCGGGAGAUAGGUACCAUCUGUAUAUAAGUUUUCUGUGAGCCUCAAUGUGAUUAUAACAAAAGGUAACCCCUUUUAGUACAUUGAUUGCUACCAUCCAUAUACUCGCACCCUAACUCCGAUUUUUACAUUCUGAGGAGAGAAGUAUCCCUGCACUAAACAGUAAAAUUUCAAAAGGAGUUUAGGUUUCAAGGGUGAUAGUGUCUGUUGAUAUGCCCUAAGUGUGUCCAUGGUUAUUCCUUUGGUUGUAUAAACAUAACUUAACAAGCUUUUCAGUUGUAGAAAAUGUAAUAUAUAUAUUGGGAUUGUAGUGCAUAGGUUUGUUGCAAAUCCCCAAAAGGAAGGGUUUGCAUUGUUGAAAUAAUUGAGCUUUUUAUGUGAUUCCUUUCUUGGCUUAAUAAUGGUGGGAGAGAGUUGGUGAAAUGACACUAGUGCUGACAGUGGAGCAGUGUGUAACAGCUUACUGCUGAAUCGUAGCCUAGCUAGUAACGAGUGCCAAAUGCUGAAGGACAGUUGAGUAGCAUUAAACGUGGAACUGCAAUGUUUUAUAUUGCAGCACUAAGUGUAAAAGGGUCACAGCAUCCAAACCAUUUCAAUUAGCUGAAGUGGUAUGGGUGCCUACAGUGUCCCUUGAAAAUGUACACACGUUUAGGAAGUAUAAUACCUCUCGGUACCUCACCAGGGCCGGCUCGUCCAUAAGGUGGCACAGACGGCCACCUUAGGGCGCCAGAGCAUGCGGGAGCAAAAAUCAGAAACCCCUGCCUCUGCAGUCGGCUGGCCUAUUCUGAUGACUUGAACUUCCCAGGCUGCUGUGUGCUACCUCCAGCUCCUGUUCCACCCCUCCCUGGCCCAAAGUAAGGAAUACACUGUUUUUUUUAUUUUGUUUUUUUAAAUCCAUUUUUUUUAAAGCAGCACCUGUCUCCCUCUUUCAGCCCCAGUGCCCCCACCACAGUUCCUG